rnacentral:rRNA from 1 species
GAUGAACGCUGGCGGCGUGCCUAAUACAUGCAAGUCGAGCGAACGGACGAGGAGCUUGCUUCUCUGAUGUUAGCGGCGGACGGGUGAGUAACACGUGGAUAACCUACCUAUAAGACUGGGAUAACUUCGGGAAACCGUAGCUAAUACCGGAUAAUAUUUUGGACCGCAUGGUUCAAAAGUGAAAGACGGUCUUGCUGUCACUUAUAGAUGGAUCCGCGCUGCAUUAGCUAGUUGGUAAGGUAACGGCUUACCAAGGCAACGAUGCAUAGCCGACCUGAGAGGGUGAUCGGCCACACUGGAACUGAGACACGGUCCAGACUCCUACGGGAGGCAGCAGUAGGGAAUCUUCCGCAAAGGGCGAAAGCCUGACGGAGCAACGCCGCGUGAGUGAUGAAGGUCUUCGGAUCGUAAAACUCUGUUAUUAGGGAAGAACAUAUGUGUAAGUAACUGUGCACAUCUUGACGGUACCUAAUCAGAAAGCCACGGCUAACUACGUG